rnacentral:lncRNA from 1 species
CACGUAAGUUUCACUCCAAUCUAAGUAGUAGAUUAUAAAAAAUCUUAAAAACCCUCACUAGACCUAAAUUCUACUUUCUGAGACCUUGACCCACUUAAAUCUCACUUAAACCCACUUAAAUAUUCUUUAAUUCAACCGUUCGAUCGAGUUCAAAUUCACAAUACAUAUUGAACAUAACUAUAACCAUAAACCCACAAAAUUUCACCCAUAGAUCUGCUACAAAACUCUCAAAAUCAUCCAAAAAUUAAAUCCUAUU